UCGUACAACGGAGGUGCGAGGGUUGUCGCUGGCCCCUUCAAAGGUGUCGUGCACGCCCAAGCACACUCCCAUACAUCCAUCUCACACCUUUGUGCAUCACCGCGUGGGGUCACCCUUUAAUAAGGGGACUUGCGUUUUUACAUAGACACCCUUCGAAUGCAUGUGUAGAACGUCUUAUUAUUAUCAAUA
rnacentral:misc_RNA from 1 species